GGAGGGGUCGUGCCGGGGAUUGAAACUCAGGGGCACUCCACCACUGAGUAACAUCCCCACCCCUAUUUUGUAUUUUAUUUAGAGACAGGGUCUCACUGAGUUAAAUAGCAUCUCGAUUUUGCUGAGGCUGGCUUUGAACUCGUGAUCCUCCUGCCUCAGCCUCCGGAGCUACUGGAAUUACCGGAGUGAUGGCACAUGCCUGGCAGUGUGUUAUUGUUUAUAAGAGGGCCCAGCACAUAGGAAGCAUCAGCUUUUACAACACCAUCAUCAGCAUGACAAAAAGCUUCCUGAAGAAAGGCAACCAUAUUCUAAAACCCACAGGGCAGAAAAAAAAAAAAGAAACUUUAAUCCCUUAUUGUUCACUUCUUUUGGUAAUUCAGUUAUUAAUUUCACUUAUGUGCAACUUGUGACUUACACUAGUAAAUUGAUCAUUAGAACAGGAGACACUCAACAGUCAACAAUAUAAAAUCAUAAUAUUACUUAGCCUUUCUUUCACACUCCAGUGGUCGAAGGACAAGAAUAAGGAUGAAGGUCCUCCUACCAUCUGCCUAAAUAUGAACAGUUACAAAUCAAGAUAAUAAACUAAGUAAAAAAGGAUCUCUUCUCAUACAUUGACCCAUAUGCUCUCACAGAAACCUGAAAAUCCAGGGUGGAAUUUCAUUCUGACUCCUUCCCUAGUCUACUCCCUAAUUUCUCACCCCAGGCUCAGUCUUGCACCAUGAAGGACCUCACACAGGGGCAAAGAUAUGUGUGCCUUUCCUGCUCCCCACACCCACAAAUCCCAGCUGUUUACAUGCCUACCUUCUCUUGGCCUAAGGGUGAACUUCAGGUUGAACUUCAGUGAACCAGGAAAGAGGGUUUUUGUGUUUGUUUGUUUAUUUUUUUCUUUUUGUAGUUGUAGAUGGACAGCAUGCUUUUGUUUUUUAUUUUUAUGUGGUGCUAAGGAUUGAACCCAGUGCCUCACGUGUGCUAGGCAAGCACUCUGCCAUUCAGCUACAGCCCCAGCCCAGGAAAGAGGUUUUUGAAGGCCUUGGAAAGUAGCUUCUUUAAGCAGGAAUCAGGGAGUGGAUACCUGUAAUGUGUCCUACAAGGGAAUAUGUGUGUGUAAGCUUCUGAUGGCAUGUCCUCUGACCCUGGAGCCUCCUUGCCUUGUUCAAAUAAGUAGCCAGAGGAGAGUCAGAACAGGCUUAUAAUAUACAGAAGCUAAGGGCACCGUCCUCUUGCCCAGGUCUAAGGGUAGUAGUGAUGUAACUUUAUUUAGUUGCUAUAUGAAAUCAUUGUAUCAAAUUGAUUCUGUGGUAGUAUACAACUGUUGAUUUUAUUGAUUUUAGUGUGACCAAAAUUUUACUAAUAACCCUCACCAAAAAAAUAUGCAUUACAUUUUUAGGAUAUUUUAUUUAGGUCCACCCCCACUCAGGUUAGCUUUCAUCUCAGGGGGAGAUGAAAUUCCCAAACAAUAUAGCUAUUUUAUAAUUAUUUCCAGUAAAUAGCAUAGAGGAAGCAGAUGAUACAGAUUUAGUAUCAUUUAUUAGGAUGAUAUUAGCCAUUUAUUAGGCCAUUUUAGGAGAGUCUAAAAUUAAGUAUAAUUCAAUAAUAGAUAAUUCAAAAUAAUGACAAUUUGCAUUCUAUGGUUAAUUCAUUAAUACCAUGAAAAUCUAGAUGGAGGACACCCUCUACUAACAAUACAUAGUGAAUGAAAUAUUUCUAAUGUGUUUAUGUUAAAAAUGUGCAUUCUAAAUGGUGACAGACUUUAAUAAUUCAGGGUUCUUCACUUUGAAUAUUUAAUUUGCUG
rnacentral:lncRNA from 1 species